rnacentral:rRNA from 1 species
GACGAACGCUUUUGGCGUGCUUAACACAUGCAAGUCGAACGGAAAGGCCCUGCUUUUGUGGGGUGCUCGAGUGGCGAACGGGUGAGUAACACGUGAGUAACCUGCCCUUGACUUUGGGAUAACUUCAGGAAACUGGGGCUAAUACCGGAUAGGAGCUCCUGCUGCAUGGUGGGGGUUGGAAAGUUUCGGCGGUUGGGGAUGGACUCGCGGCUUAUCAGCUUGUUGGUGGGGUAGUGGCUUACCAAGGCUUUGACGGGUAGCCGGCCUGAGAGGGUGACCGGCCACAUUGGGACUGAGAUACGGCCCAGACUCCUACGGGAGGCAGCAGUGGGGAAUAUUGCACAAUGGGCGGAAGCCUGAUGCAGCAACGCCGCGUGCGGGAUGACGGCCUUCGGGUUGUAAACCGCUUUCGCCUGUGACGAAGCGUGAGUGACGGUAAUGGGUAAAGAAGCACCGGCUAACUACGUGCCAGCAGCCGCGGUGAUACGUAGGGUGCGAGCGUUGUCCGGAUUUAUUGGGCGUAAAGGGCUCGUAGGUGGUUGAUCGCGUCGGAAGUGUAAUCUUGGGGCUUAACCCUGAGCGUGCUUUCGAUACGGGUUGACUUGAGGAAGGUAGGGGAGAAUGGAAUUCCUGGUGGAGCGGUGGAAUGCGCAGAUAUCAGGAGGAACACCAGUGGCGAAGGCGGUUCUCUGGGCCUUUCCUGACGCUGAGGAGCGAAAGCGUGGGGAGCGAACAGGCUUAGAUACCCUGGUAGUCCACGCUGUAAACGGUGGGUACUAGGUGUGGGGUCCAUUCCACGGGUUCCGUGCCGUAGCUAACGCUUUAAGUACCCCGCCUGGGGAGUACGGCCGCAAGGCUAAAACUCAAAGGAAUUGACGGGGCCCCGCACAAGCGGCGGAGCAUGCGGAUUAAUUCGAUGCAACGCGUAGAACCUUACCUGGGUUUGACAUGGGUCGGGAGUGCUCAGAGAUGGGUGUGCCUCUUUUGGGGUCGGUUCACAGGUGGUGCAUGGCUGUCGUCAGCUCGUGUCGUGAGAUGUUGGGUUAAGUCCCGCAACGAGCGCAACCCUUGUUCACUGUUGCCAGCACGUUAUGGUGGGGACUCAGUGGAGACCGCCGGGGUCAACUCGGAGGAAGGUGGGGAUGACGUCAAGUCAUCAUGCCCCUUGUGUCCAGGGCUUCACGCAUGCUACAAUGGCUGGUACAGAGAGUGGCGAGCCUGUGAGGGUGAGCGAAUCUCGGAAAGCCGGUCUCAGUUCGGAUUGGGGUCUGCAACUCGACCUCAUGAAGUCGGAGUCGCUAGUAAUCGCAGAUCAGCAACGCUGCGGUGAAUACGUUCCCGGGGCU